rnacentral:misc_RNA from 1 species
GCAAACUUGGUCAUUUAGAGGAAGUAAAAGUCGUAACAAGGUUUCCGUAGGUGAACCUGCGGAAGGAUCAUUAUCGAGUUAGGGUCUUUUUGGCCCAACCUCCAACCCUUUGUCUACUUGACCACUGUUGCUUUGGCGAGCCUGUUUCUAGUAAAAUAGAGGCUGCCGGAGGUGCAAUACCCUCUGGAUCGUGCUCGUCAAUAGCCUUUAUUAAACUCUUUGCUAAAUGUGGAGUCUAAGCAAUACCUAAAAGCUAAAACUUUCAACAACGGAUCUCUUGGUUCUGGCAUCGAUGAAGAACGCAGC